rnacentral:rRNA from 1 species
UAACACGUAUCCAACCUGCCGUCUACUCUUGGACAGCCUUCUGAAAGGAAGAUUAAUACAAGAUGGCAUCAUGAGUUCACAUGUUCACAUGAUUAAAGGUAUUCCGGUAGACGAUGGGGAUGCGUUCCAUUAGAUAGUAGGCGGGGUAACGGCCCACCUAGUCUUCGAUGGAUAGGGGUUCUGAGAGGAAGGUCCCCCACAUUGGAACUGAGACACGGUCCAAACUCCUACGGGAGGCAGCAGUGAGGAAUAUUGGUCAAUGGGCGAGAGCCUGAACCAGCCAAGUAGCGUGAAGGAUGACUGCCCUAUGGGUUGUAAACUUCUUUUAUAAAGGAAUAAAGUCGGGUAUGCAUACCCGUUUGCAUGUACUUUAUGAAUAAGGAUCGGCUAACUCCGUGCCAGCAGCCGCGGUAAUACGGAGGAUCCGAGCGUUAUCCGGAUUUAUUGGGUUUAAAGGGAGCGUAGAUGGAUGUUUAAGUCAGUUGUGAAAGUUUGCGGCUCAACCGUAAAAUUGCAGUUGAUACUGGAUAUCUUGAGUGCAGUUGAGGCAGGCGGAAUUCGUGGUGUAGCGGUGAAAUGCUUAGAUAUCACGAAGAACUCCGAUUGCGAAGGCAGCCUGCUAAGCUGCAACUGACAUUGAGGCUCGAAAGUGUGGGUAUCAAACAGGAUUAGAUACCCUGGUAGUCCACACGGUAAACGAUGAAUACUCGCUGU